GACGAACGCUGGCGGCGUGCUUAACACAUGCAAGUCGAACGGAAAGGCCCUGCUUUUGUGGGGUGCUCGAGUGGCGAACGGGUGAGUAACACGUGAGUAACCUGCCCUUGACUUUGGGAUAACUUCAGGAAACUGGGGCUAAUACCGGAUAGGAGCUCCUGCUGCAUGGUGGGGGUUGGAAAGUUUCGGCGGUUGGGGAUGGACUCGCGGCUUAUCAGCUUGUUGGUGGGGUAGUGGCUUACCAAGGCUUUGACGGGUAGCCGGCCUGAGAGGGUGACCGGCCACAUUGGGACUGAGAUACGGCCCAGACUGCUACGGGAGGCAGCAGGGGGGAAUAUUGCACAAUGAGCGGGAGCCUGAUGCAGCAACGCCGCGUGCGUGAUGACGGCCUUCGGGUUGUAAACCGCUGUCGCCUGUGACGAAGCGUGAGUGACGGUAAUGGGUAAAGAAGCACCGGCUAACUACGUG
rnacentral:rRNA from 1 species